rnacentral:rRNA from 1 species
AUCGAACGCUGGCGGCAGGCCUAACACAUGCAAGUCGAACGAGUGGCGGAGGGGUGCGUAAUGUCUGGGCACCUGCCUGACGGAGCGGGCUAACUGCUGGAAACGGUAGCUAAUACCGCUUACCAUCCUAUGGGCUCACAUGGGAUUAGCUAGUUGGUGGGGUAAUGGCUCACCUAGGCGACGAGCCCUAGCAGGUCUGAGAGGGUGACCAGCCACACUGGGACUGAGACACGGUCCAGACUCCUACGGGAGGCAGCAGUAGGGAAUAUUGCGCAAUGGACGAAAGCCUGAUCGAGCCAUGCCGCGUGUGUGAAGAAGGCUUUCGGAUUGUAAAGUACUGUCGGUAGGGAAGCGGUACUCAAAGAGAAAGCACCGGCUAACUCCGUGCCAGCAGCCGCGGUAAUAC